ensembl:lncRNA
CCCGGCUCUCCCACCGCCUGGCUCUCCUACCCCCGGGCUCUCCCACCCCCAUCUCUCCCACUGACGGGCUCUCCCACCGACGGGUUCACUCCUUGCAGGCAGGCGCCGGGUUUCACCUGCUGCCUACCACGGGCCAGCAGCUUCUCGGAGCCCCCGCCCCCUGUCUUUCUGCGGGGACGUAUUUCCUAGGAGAGGUCGCAGCCCCUGAGGCUCUGGCGUACCUGGAGGGGGUCCCUGGGGGCCCUCUGGGAUUUGCUCCUGUGCCCCCCCCAUCCUGGUCAGCUCAGCGGGGGAGGCUGAGCUCUGUGACACCCCCCCCUCCGUCAUCCCUGCGCAGGUGCUGUCAGCCGGGCUUGGGUGGGGGGACUUCCCUGGACGGUCCCUCACCGGCCUGUCUUCCUUCCCGCCACGUAUCAGCAGGGACGUCUCUCCACGCGCCCCUCUCCCCGCGGGCGGCCCCGUCUCUUCUCCCGCGGGCGGCCCCACAAUCUGUGUGCCGUGUGCACGAGGAGGCUGCCUCCCGGAGCCCGGGCACCGGAUGCCACGGCCUGGCCGGCGCUGCUGCAGCUCUGGUGCCCCCUCCCAGCAGGCGCCCGUUACACCCUGAUGCCCCCCAGUACCCUGAGGCCCCCGGCACCCCGAGUCGCCCAUCCCCCUGCACCCGAGGGCUUGCACAGGCGCCCCCCGCCUGGCGCCCUGCUACGGAGGGACGUGUCCGUGAUGCCCCCGCGUGUCCACAGAGCGCACCCCUCUACCUGUGUCCCCGCCCCCCGCAGCCCGGUGUGCGGGAGAGCUCCGGGGCGGCUGCAGUGUCACGUCGGGGGGGGGGGGCNGGGGCCUCGGGGUGUAAGAGGGGGAGCCCCGCACGACCCGGUGCAGGUGUGUCGGAGAGCUCCGGGGCUGCUGCCAGAAGCGCUUCCCGCUCGUGGAGCCGUGUCCUCGUGUCCCGUGGGUUCACAGCGGCGGUCAGAUUUUAUGUAUUUCUCCUGGAGAGACACAGAGAGGCCGAGGGAGAAGCAGGCCCCCUGCAUGGACCCCCACUGGACUGGAUCCGGGACCCGGGGUCACGCCCUGGUCGGCGCAGGUGCUCCACCCCUGAGCCCCCCUUCUCUCCCCUCCCCGGGGCGCCCCAGAGUAUUUUCCAUGAAUAUGUGCUGGUAAUUUCUUCCUCGGAGAAUAAGUGACCUCUCAGUCCGUGUCCCCAACCUGCACAGGGUCCCAUUAGGUAGCCGUGACUCGUGCGCAUCGUUGCAUGGGGCGCCCAUGGAGACUCCUCCUGGGUGCCAGCCGGGGUCACCGGGCCCACCCAGGGCACCCUGGCCGCUGUCCCCUCCCCGCUGGGAUGCUCCGGACCGGGCAGGAUGGGCAGAGAAGCCAGGCAUCCGCUCGCUCAGCGAAACUGGGACGUGCCGCCGUGUGGGCCCGAAGGGAACCUGAGUGUGACCAGCCCCACGUGCAUGUGAGCAGGGGAGUGACCUGGGCCAGGACAGCAAUGUGGGGGCCUCCGCCUGCAGUGAAGUUAUGCAAAAAUAUGGGCGGCCAAGCCACGAGCAGCUGCGGCUGAGCAUUUCCAUCAUUUUUGUUAAAUAUCCUGCAAAUGAUGCGGCUGCCUGUACGGGGAGAUUGCAUCAAAAUGAAGUGUGUGCACGAGGAAAAUAUUAAUGACUCCUCUCCAUGUACUGGGCUCUAGAUAAUGCAGCUGUUUUUAGCCUCCAGCUGUGCAAAUGACUUACUUUUUCUAGGAGAAAAAAAGAAGACUUCCUGUUUAGCUUUAUUUCCAUCUCAUUUAUGGUUUACUUAUCUUCCCUUGCCUUAGUUUCCAGACGUCCGUUUGGGGAGCAUCCCCACUGUCCCCACGGCCUUCUCCCGCGACAGGAGCCGGGGCAUGGAGGCCACAUCUGGGUCUCUGGGGAUGCGUUCCAGCCCCAGAGGUGGCCGCCUGCAGAGGAGCCCGUUGGGGCCCCAGGGCCUCGGGUCCGGGUGACACAGGCCGCAUUGUGCUGCUGCUGCUGCUGCAGUCCCGGCUGCCCCAAGGCCGGGAGUAGGAGGUGAAACCAGUGCCCGCCCCAGUUCUCACCAAAGUCCGACCGAACGUGCCCAGAGGUGCCUAAACCAAGGCCAUCUCUUGUUUUUGAGGAAUAAAUAGGAGCAACGCGGGCGGCA